rfam:Oryza meridionalis cultivar OR44 (W2112) chromosome 5, whole genome shotgun sequence.
UAUAAUAGCAAUUAUGAGUUUUCAUGUUCAACUUUAAUCGUCCAUCUUAUUUAAAUUUUUUUAUUAUUUGUAUUUUUAUUAUUAUUAGUUGAUAAAACAUGAGUGCUACUUUGUGCAUGACUUAUGUUUUUUUAUUUUUUAAAAAAGUUUUUAAAUAAGAUGACGGUUAAAGUUGGAUAUGUAAACUCAUGGCUAUGUUUAAA